rnacentral:rRNA from 1 species
UCUACCUACGGGGGGCAGCAGUGGGGAAUAUUGGGCAAUGGGCGCAAGCCUGACCCAGCAACGCCGCGUGAAGGAAGAAGGCUUUCGGGUUGUAAACUUCUUUUAUCAGGGACGAAACAAGUGACGGUACCUGAUGAAUAAGCCACGGCUAACUACGUGCCAGCAGCCGCGGUAAUACGUAGGUGGCAAGCGUUAUCCGGAUUUACUGGGUGUAAAGGGCGUGUAGGCGGGACUGCAAGUCAGAUGUGAAACCCAUGGGC